CAUCGGACCCCGAUACAAGACAGCAUGAAAUAUCAAUCGAGCUAUCCUCGGCCAUCCGCUUUUUCUUGUAAUGAGAAUUCAAACCUGUGGGACAGCUGAAGGGGACGUUAUAACGAAUUUGGUCUACAAACGAAUAAUCUCUUAUCCGGACUUGCAUGUACGACUGCUAAUGAUUCAUGGGAUUUUGGAUCGUUGUCUACUAAUGAGGUUUGUCUUGCAACCGAUGUCAUACUAACGAGGGUAGGACUGUAAAUUAAAUGCUUGAAAGUUGAAACUUCGUUUUUCAGAUGAAUCAGACUGCAAAUCAAUAGCAUAGCAAAGACCAUAGCUAUCCCAGGAACACUUGAGUAGUGCCCUCUUUUACCUUUUUCUAUGUUGUCCUCUUCAGUUUGAGCAGCAUUAGGCGAUUUGAUCGCAGGACGAGAGAGGAGCUGAUGGACGAUCUCUCCAAUGUUCCUCUUGGUUCGGAGCGGCGCCGAGUGCUGACGUUGGGACUUGGCACCGCUAGCUAAACCGACCAACGGCUACUCCCAGGGCACAAACUAUUCUGCUGGAGGCAGCGUCGUCUUCGGCUGAAAUUCCGGAUACAACCUGCAGGGAAGCAUUGUGCGCAUCUGCCAGAUUGACGGUUCCUGGAGUGGGGCAGCUGCCUCAUGUAAUCCCAUUCAACUGCAGUGCCAGUCUGGCUACCUGCCCUGCCUGCGUUCCAGUGGCUGUAUCCUGCCAUCACAGCGCUGCGACGGUGUUUGGUACGACUGUGCUGAUGGCUCUGAUGCACAGUACUGCCCAGGCAAGGUCACACCAGCUCCAGGUCAAACCGACUGCCAGGUCCUGUCACCACCGGCACUGGGCUCAAUGACCGUGAACGGCUUGAUGUUCAGCAACACGACCACGUUUGUGUGCACAUCUCCCUAUGUCCUUAUGGGCUCGGCCGUGCGUACUUGUGAAAUCAACGGCCAGUGGAGCGGUGUGCAGCCAACUUGCGUCCUGACGACUGCUGCUCUGAGUGCGGCCAGUGACGAGCUAGUCAAGGACUCCGUCUCAGAACGCAUGACACAAACGUCUCCCGCUCCAUGCCCAUUGUUGGAGCGACAGUCCUGGAAUCCAGAGUUGCAAGUGAGGUGGUGAUACGGCAAGCAGACGGUGGCAAAGUACGGCUUAAAAGCUCUACAUCUGGCAAGUGGCCGGCAUACCACCCCAAUGGACAUUGGAACAGUACACGUAGAGUAGCAUCUCUACGUGACAGGGUAUGAGCGCAAGCCAGUAUUGCCAAGCACUGGGGACCUUUGGCAAUCUGAAGAAUGUUUUGUCCGAGAAUCGAUCCUUGGAUCUGUGGCGUUGCAGUUGUGGUGCUCCCGACCCUCUUGCGCGAUGGCCGCGGAGACUUGGCGAAAAGGUUCGAGACAUACGGCAUCUCAAUAUCUUCCACCACAAUCAGUACAUCAGCACCACCAUCGAGUGUAGCGACAUCAGCAAUAGAAGACGCACAUGAUAUCAUUCACCCUUACGGCCUUAGCGAAGACCCGGGAAUACCUCAGAAGAUGUUAGCCGCAACUUUACUGGAAAAGUCGUCGGUGACAACGGCACUCCAUAUUUUAGCUGCAUGCAGUUAGGUCUCUCAACAAGUGUACCCAAAGUUUUCAAGCUAAUACACAAGCAAAUUCACUAGGGGCCGAGUAUAUUUUCCUACACCUCUCCCUGUUUGUUGUUGUUAUUUCUGCAUUCAAAUUGUUUGUGUACCUGUACAUUUAUUACAGUAGAGCCACGUAUCCACGGCUGUUGUUUCCAAGGUCAGGCUCGUCAGUUAUACAAAACCUUUCAGCAAUCUGGCCUUAGGCUUAGUUCCUUGACUUCUUGUACCACCUUCUUAGAUGCACAUCCCACUGGAUAGUGAGCAAUACGUGUGUAGCAGAAUCUGUAUUCCAGAAAAGCAGAGACUUGAGUCUAUUGACACUGCGUUUCGUUUUAAAACGUUAUUGGCUGUGGUGUUCCUAGAGGUAUACUAUACACGUACAUUCCUGGGUCCCACGUUCUGUGACGCCCGACUGUAUUCGUGGUGCUUCAACAACUUUUAAUUUUGUGCACUCGGGAAAACCUGCCUGAGGCUGUGAGGCUGCAGAGUGUUGGCUGUGUUUUGCUUUAAAAAACCAUCAGGUCUCCCCAGA